rnacentral:lncRNA from 1 species
CGAGACUGUGCAGUGUAUGCAGUUAGUGUAGGAGCAGUUUUUGGCAUAAUAUUUGACAACCGAAUUUACUGGUAAGCUUUAAAUAAGUGUCACUCUUAACAUAAAACAUAAUUACAGAAUUUUUGAAGUCUGAUGGCUUAGUAGUAUAGUUUCUCAAAACCUUCACUUCAACAGCUAUUGCAGUCUCAGCUGACUCCUUCAAAACUGCUGGUGGCUGCUUUUCUCUCCUGUCCUAGUCACUGAAGACAGCCAUUCUUCCUUUUCCUUGGUCUCCAUGUUCACACCUUCCCCGGCUGCUGUUGCUUACCUGGCCACAUUGGCUGAAUUUCUCUUUUAAUUUCUGCCAAGUCAAGUCAAAAGGAAGAUUUCUAACAAAUAUCUGGUUGCCUUUGGAGCCUAAUCUGUCUCUCAUUCCGCUUCCCAUGGGACCUGAUAAAAACCCUCGGUCUACAUCGAUGCUCCUUUCCAGUAUGGCUCCAAUGCCUGGCCCCAUCCUGUCGAAGCUGGAGCUCAUGCGGUCCAGUCCCAUGCCCAUGCCUCCAGUCACAGUGCUCAUGCCGCUCAUGCUGCCGCCUCCCAUUCGGCCAACUCCACCAAAGCCUGCCAUGCUAUUCAUUGCUUCCAGACCACCAAACCCAACUCCUCCUCCAAUUCUAUUCACUCCUCCAAAACCCGGACCAUCCAUUCCCAUACCACUUGGACCCAAAUUUCCCAUUACACCAGUUAUGUUCAGCUGGCUGGCACUAAUAGGCUGUCCACCUGGACCAAGUCCCAUUCCAAUGCCUCCAAGACCACGUGGUAACUGUGAUGUCUUACUAUCAUGUGAACGGUAGUCUUCAUGAGGGACAGAUUUGUCAUCCAUUUUCACAUGCAUAGGUCUAUCAAAUAAAAACUGCCCAUUGAACAUGGAAAUUGCUUGGACUGCUUCAAUUGCCUGCUCAAAAGUGACAGUGCCCAUGCCUCUGCUCUUGCCAUCCUUGUCUUCUUUAAUAUCAGCUCGCUUCACAGUUCCAGCUAUGCUGAACACUUCCUUUAAUUUCUUCCAACCAACUUUGAAGUCAAGAUUAGCAACAAAAAUUGUGGAACCAAGUCUACCAGCCUGCAAAUUGCUGAUAACCUCAGGAGGAAUGUUUGGAUUAUUGAGAAUGGAAGGUGGUAAAUUCACCAACCCAGAUCCCACAUCGGAGGCAUGUGAUCCUUGAAAUGAUGUUCCUGUUCGCUGCAGUGCCCGGCGAGCAUUUUCUCCAUCCGGAUCCUCUUUAAUAUUCAAAGGCCUUCCACUAAGGUCAUAUUUGUUCAUAGUUUCUAAUGCUUUCUUUACAAAUUCUUCAUCUUUGAAUUCAACCACGCCACAACCCCUUGAUUUUCCUUCCGCAUCCUUAAAGAGCUCCACGUAUGUAACCUCACCAACUUUUUCUCUCAUCAAAUCUUUAAUAGCCUGCCACUUCAUGUCAUAGGGUAUGUUGCUAAUGAACACUCUGUUCCGAUUUGGACCUUUCUUUUCUCCAGUGCCCGAAUUCUUAUCUUUUGAAUAAGGAUGGAACCGAUUGGCCUUCUUAUUUCCUGUAGACUUUUCUUUUAAAUCAGAUUUUUCUUCCUUCACUGACUCAUCAUUCUCCAUUUUAACGCCGUUGGCGCUGCUGCGCGGCGGUUUCUCGGGCUCGCCGGGGUGCGUGUCUCGCCGCGGCUCAGCCGGUUGCUGCUGCGAGCCGUCGUCACCCGCGGCCGCCUCGGACUUGUCGGCAUCGGCCAUCCCGCCGCGGGCUCCGCCUCGGCCGCGAUGAGGGCUCCGAGCGCUACAAUGGCGGCGGCCGGACGCUUUUGAAGUUUUAAAGACAAUGGCUCAACUCUGCUACCAUCAGCAAGAACAUGGACCAUGGACUUGAGACAUCUGUGUGCUCCCUGGUAUCAGCAUGCUGCUGACCUCACCAUGGUCUCCUGUGGCAACGCAGAACAUGGACAUCAACAUGGCUUCAGGUGACAGUCGAGACCACACGGGCCACGGACAUAAGCACAAGCUCUAACUACAGUAGGACCACACACCCAGACAUGGCUCUUGGCAGCAGCACGCACCUGGACAUCACCAUGGUCACAGGAAGCUGCCAAGGCCACUUACAACAACGUGGUCCUUGGCUAUCACAGAAUAGCCUCAGGUGUUGAUGGAGACCAAGGAUAUUCAUAUGGCCUUCUCGGGACAGAGACAUAAGCAAGGUUCAUGGCUGCUGUAGGACCAUGGAUAUCCACUUGAACCUGGGGCUUCAACAUGGUCUGGGCAGCUGACUACAGAUACCAAAGUGGCCGCCAGAGGCAGCACUGACCAUAGAGACCUUUGGAGGUAGUCUAAUCCAGAAAACGAACUGCUCUUCAUCUCAGACAUCCUAUUAUUGCUCAGAACAGGGGGAUCACGAGGCUGGGCUGCAUGCUCCAGGCUGCUGCACACUACCCCUACAGCCCUGCUCAGCAAUGACAUUUUCCUGGUCCACCAUAGCCUUCUCUCACACCUAUUGUUGCCCUGAUGCUCAGGUGAGAGUCUGACAUAACUGGAAAGCCCUGAGCUCAGUACAAAACUCAGACUCCCUUUGUCAGCGAGGCUUCCUUUUCUCAGCCUGGGGGAUUCCAGACACCACACCCUGUAUUUGCAGAAUAUCACAUAGCUUCGGUUAAGAUUACAGGUUCAGCUUCCUUUCUUCCAAUAAGAACGCAUUCAGCUAGAACCUAAGAUUCCUGAAAUAUCUCCCCAUGUUAAUGAGAUACCUCCAGCCUUCAAUUCAGCCAACGACCUUUGCCUACCCUGGAUAUUCCUACCGCUUCACUAGGCAGAGGCAGGUGGAUUUCUGAAUUUGAGGCCAGCCUGGACUACAAAGUGAGUUCCAGGACAGCCAGGGCUAUACAGAGAAACCUUGAGAAAACAGAAAAAAAAAAUAUAACCCUUGAUUGACCCCAAGUAAAGUUGGUGUGUCUCCCCAAAGCUGGUCCUGGGGUGUCCUGGGGUGUUGCUGUACUCACAGGACUUCUGAACCUCCUGUCUGUGCAUUUGCCCUUGUGGACCGAUGUUGCCUGACAGUGCCUGGGAGCACGGAGGGUCACAGCCUAGCCUCUGUUGCAUUUUCAGUGCUAACUUACUGCACCAUUCAUCUACCUCAACUCUGCAUUGAGUAUUCAUUUGUUGUGUAGCAUUGGAAAAUUAGACAGCUUUGCAUGCAAAUAUUCAUUGCAGCUAGUCAGAGUUCAGGGUUGCUGGAUCUGAAACACCAUGAGUCCUGGACCAUUGCCAAGAUGCUGCUGCCCAGAUGUCGCAAGACGGCAGGGCUUCCAGAGGCAGGUUCUGUGUGAGCUCCUGGCUGCCACUCACCUCCCUGCCUGUCCUUCAUGUCUGCCACACCGAGGCCCACUAGGCUUUGCCUUUGGCCUUGUUGCAUGAUACACUGAACUCUUUGUCUCGUAGCAAGGCAAGCAGCACUGGAGGUGCAGGGCUCCAUGCUGGGUGCCAGGGCCGCUAAGGCUGACCCUAGUCAACAGUGACCUGCUUCUGUGUGCACUCCAGGAGCCAGAUCGUCUCCCUGUGGUUGGUGUUGGCAGCCCCAUUACUCAUAGGAGUGACUUUUGUGCUUGCGGGUGGCUGAGAUUCAGCAGCUAAGGGUACAGGGAUUCAUCACUGCCCAAGCAGGGCUCUGUUUUGCUAUCUUUCUUACCAAUUUUGUGCUUUUAAAAUCAUCUUCCCAUAAAACUUGCCUUUGGUUGGUUGGUUGGUUGGUUGGUUGGUUGGCUGGCUGUUUGGUUAUUUGGUUUGGUUUGGUUUGGUUUGGUUUGGUUUGGUUUGGUUUGGUUUGGAGCUAUUGUGGGCCUUACACUUGCAUUUUCUACCAAUAUGUCACCCAGGACUGGUGAUGGCCACAACCUUUCUCCUCAGGUUCCUGGAUGCUGGGAUUAUAGGUGUGUGUGAGCAUACUACUGCCACUUCUA